rnacentral:rRNA from 1 species
AACGCGAAGAACCUUACCUACCCUUGACAUGCCCCGAACCUGGGAGAGAUCCUGGGGUGCCCGAAAGGGAACGGGGACACAGGUGCUGCAUGGCUGUCGUCAGCUCGUGUCGUGAGAUGUUGGGUUAAGUCCCGCAACGAGCGCAACCCUCCAUUAGUUGCCAGCGGCUUGGCCGGGCACUCUAAUGGGACUGCCGGUGACAAACCGGAGGAAGGUGGGGACGACGUCAAAUCAUCAUGCCCCUUAUGUCUUGGGCUUCACGCAUGCUACAAUGGCCGGUACAGAGGGUUGCGAUACUGUGAGGUGGAGCUAAUCCCUUAAAGCCGGUCUCAGUUCGGAUUGGGGUCUGCAACUCGACCCCAUGAAGUCGGAGUCGCUAGUAAUCUGGAUCAG